ACUGCAUUUUGAGCACUUGUAGC
rnacentral:miRNA from 1 species